GAGUAAACAUCAAAAUUAAACAAACUUUCGGCCCAUACUUCCAAAUUAUUUUUGAUAAACUUUGUCUGGAGCUGUAUUUCCGAAUAUGUAUCAAAAUUUCGAAACCUUACUUUCACAUGGAUUCACUAAUGUAGUUCCCAAAUCAGUGCUAUGAAGAACCUAUGUGAAGUUAGGGACUUUAAAAAUUCUUGAUGUAUUUGUGAUUAAUUUGAUAACUUUGGGGUAUAUCACUCAACUUAACAUAAUAAGUGCGAAGUGGAUAACUUAUGGAUACAACACUCUGGAUGUGAUUGACUAAUAGUUAUUAGUCCAAAUUAGUUGUCAUCAUAUAGAACUACUCUUAUGAUCCAAAUCACAUAAGUAUACUUUUGACAAGUAAAAGUAUACUCUUUGCUUGAUCAAGUAAUAUUAGCGCAUAUGAUGUAUGAUUACAGAAUCGAUGUGCCCAGAUUACCAAAACUUAUAUAUACUCCCGCACAAUUUUUGAUUCAAUCGUUUGAAUGAUGAUUAAAAGAAGUGCAUAACUUGUUCCGA